AAACUGAAGAGUUUGAUCCUGGCUCAGAUUGAACGCUGGCGGCAUGCUUUACACAUGCAAGUCGAACGGCAGCGCGGGCUUCGGCCUGGCG
rnacentral:ncRNA from 1 species